rnacentral:rRNA from 1 species
UACGGAAGGCAGCAGUGGGGAAUAUUGCACAAUGGGCGAAAGCCUGAUGCAGCUAUGCCGCGUGUAUGAAGAAGGCCUUAGGGUUGUAAAGUACUUUCAUCGGGGAGGAAAAAACAAAACUAAUAAUUUUAUUUCUUGACGUUACCCGAAAAAGAAGCACCGGCUAACUCCGUGCCAGCAGCCGCGGUAAUACGGAGGGUGCUAGCGUUAAUCAGAAUUACUGGGCGUAAAGAGCACGUAGGUGGUUUUUUUAAGUCAGAUGUGAAAUCCCUGGGCUUAACCUAGGAACUGCAUUUCGAAACUGAAAUACUAGAGUAUCGUAGAGGGAGGUAGAAUUCUAGGUGUAGCGGUGAAAUGCGUAGAUAUCUGGAGGAAUACCUGUGGCGAAAGCGGCCUCCUAGACGAAUACUGACACUGAGGUGCGAAAGCGUGGGGAGCAAACGAGGAUUAGAUACC